CCUACGGGAGGCUGCAGUGGGGAAUAUUGGACAAUGGGGGCAACCCUGAUCCAGCCAUGCCGCGUGUGUGAAGAAGGCCCUCGGGUUGUAAAGCACUUUCAGUGAGGAAGAACGCCUGGUGGUUAAUACCCAUCAGGAAAGACAUCACUCACAGAAGAAGCACCGGCUAACUCCGUGCCAGCAGCCGCGGUAAUACGGAGGGUGCGAGCGUUAAUCGGAAUUACUGGGCGUAAGCGCGCGUAGGUGGCUUGAUAAGCCGGUUGUGAAAGCCCCGGGCUCAACCUGGGAACGGCAUCCGGAACUGUCAAGCUAGAGUGCAGGAGAGGAAGGUAGAAUUCCCGGUGUAGCGGUGAAAUGCGUAGAGAUCGGGAGGAAUACCAGUGGCGAAGGCGGCCUUCUGGACUGACACUGACACUGAGGUGCGAAAGCGUGGGUAGCAAACAGGAUUAGAUACCCUUGUAGUC
rnacentral:rRNA from 1 species